rnacentral:lncRNA from 1 species
AUAAAACAGUGUUCUGCAGCCAAACAAAGUGGUCGGAUGAAAUGAGAACAAAUGGCGCAGUUGGAGAAAAAGGCUAUCAAAACUAAUAUAUGAUGUUAGAAACAAAGGCCGUUGUUCCCUUUACCUUGGGAAUAUGUAGUGACUGGAACGGAAUAUACAGGUGCUUUCGAGUGCAGAUAUUUAUUGAAUCCCUACUGGUGGUCAGACCCUGUUCUGGGAACCAGGGUUGCAAUAGUGAACACAACAUACUAAAUGCCCUGUCCUUAUAAAGCCUGUAUGGAAACAAGAAAGAACAACAAUGAACAAGAUACACAGAGACAGAGUUUCACCGUGUUGGCCAGGAUGGCCUCGAUCUCCUGACCUCGUGAUCCACCCUCCUUGGCCUCCCAAAGUGCUGGGAUUAUAGGUGUGAGCCACUGCGCCUGGCUGAAGAGCUCCUUUUAUGCAG